AAUGGGCGAAAGCCUGACGGAGCAACGCCGCGUGAGGGAGGAAGGCCUCUGGGCUGUAAACCUCUUUUAUCAAGGAAGAAGAUCUGACGGUACUUGAUGAAUAAGCCACGGCUAAUUCCGUGCCAGCAGCCGCGGUAAUACGGGAGUGGCAAGCGUUAUCCGGAAUUAUUGGGCGUAAAGCGUCCGCAGGCGGCCCUUCAAGUCUGCUGUUAAAAAGUGGAGCUUAACUCCAUCAUGGCAGUGGAAACUGUUGGGCUUGAGUGUGGUAGGGGCAGAGGGAAUUCCCGGUGUAGCGGUGAAAUGCGUAGAUAUCGGGAAGAACACCAGUGGCGAAGGCGCUCUGCUGGGCCAUCACUGACGCUCAUGGACGAAAGCCAGGGGAGCGAAAGGGAUU
rnacentral:rRNA from 1 species